rnacentral:rRNA from 1 species
UACAGAGGUCUCAAGCGUUGUUCGGAUUCAUUGGGCGUAAAGGGCGCGUAGGCGGCGGGGUAAGUCGGGUGUGAAAUCUCAGAGCUCAACUCUGAAACUGCACUCGAUACUGCUCUGCUUGAGGACUGGAGAGGAGACUGGAAUUCACGGUGUAGCAGUGAAAUGCGUAGAUAUCGUGAGGAAGACCAGUGGCGAAGGCGGGUCUCUGGACAGUUCCUGACGCUGAGGAGCGAAAGCGUGGGGAGCGAACAGG